GAGCAUGUAGCUCAGUGGAAGAGUAACAGACUCCGACUCUGAAGGACGAAGGUUCAAUUCCUUCCUUGCUCA
rnacentral:tRNA from 1 species